rnacentral:tRNA from 1 species
GAGGGCAUAGCCCAGUGGGAGAGCACAUGUUUAACGUGCACGAGGUCCUGGGUUCAGUCCCCAGUACCUCCA